AGGGCUAUCGGGGACUUCCGGGAGCCAAAGGAGAAAGAGGGGACACCACGACUAUUUUUGGACCUCAGGGCUACAAAGGCAGCAAAGGAGAUCCCGGUGAACAGGGACUGCCGGGAUUUGACGGAGACAAAGGAGAGAAGGGAGAGGAUGGACCUGUGGGAGACAAGGUAG